rnacentral:rRNA from 1 species
UGGGGAAUAUUGCACAAUGGGCGGAAGCCUGAUGCAGCGACGCCGCGUGAGGGAUGACGGCCUUCGGGUUGUAAACCUCUUUCAGCAGGGACGAAGCGUAAGUGACGGUACCUGCAGAAAAAGCACCGGCUAACUACGUGCCAGCAGCCGCGGUAAUACGUAGGGUGCAAGCGUUAUCCGGAAUUAUUGGGCGUAAAGAGCUCGUAGGCGGUCUGUCGCGUCUGCUGUGAAAACCCGAGGCUCAACCUCGGGCCUGCAGUGGGUACGGGCAGACUAGAGUGCGGUAGGGGAGAUUGGAAUUCCUGGUGUAGCGGUGGAAUGCGCAGAUAUCAGGAGGAACACCGAUGGCGAAGGCAGAUCUCUGGGCCGUAACUGGCGCUGAGGAGCGAAAGCGUGGGGAGCGAA